GUUUUAAAAAAAGAGGAUCCUCCCUUGACCACUGAAGAUCAGAGCCUCCAGAGCAGCCAACGUCGCUUCAUCCCAUCAUUCCAGGAGCCUAAAGUGUGCAUGAGAAACGACCACAUGUAAGCAAAGCACCCUUUGAGAUGGCACACUGAGACAUUAACUCAUAAGAAGAGCAGUGCUUCUCAAGCCAAAGGGUUCUCCAAGGGGUUUGGAUCCUAGGCAUGGACCUACACAACACUCUUCAAGUCACACUGUGGCAGCGUCCCACAUACGAAAUAGACAAGAUUGGAACAGAUGUUAGCUCAGGGACAAUCCUCCUCAAGCAAAAGGAAGAAGACUGGCAACAGAGUUUAGCUCAGGGCCAAUCUUCCUCACCAAUAAAAAAGAUAAAAAAAAUUUAUGCAU
rnacentral:lncRNA from 1 species